CGGCAAUAUUAAAUACCACGAUCUCCGCUGGUACAGAGGGUAAUCCGCAGUCAAGCGCUGAAAAAUAAGGCAAUGUCCCAAAUCACCCAGUAACCGGAUGAAACACAGUUCUGGGAGUCAACUGAGGUUUUUAUUCACAGCAUCCAGUAUUUAUGCAAGUCCCCGUGCAAGGGGUUUCCAUACUGACAUAGCAGGGGUAAUACAGUAGGGGACUACAUGGGGGACUUAACAUUCAGACCUUUUGUCCCAUCAGGCACUGCUGCACGAGAGGGAUACUCCCACUGGGAUGUACCGUUAAGUGUAUUAUCUCUCCUUGCAGCAGAACCAGCAAUUCACAUUAAAAUCUAUAACUUUCACGAUACUUGGUAGAUUUAAACGAAUGGACGUUAGGUAGAUAGUUGGGGUAUGAGUGCACAGUUUGUGAGAAUACCGCUCAGAUCCCAGCUAAAACAACCGAACGCUGCACGAAAUACACUUUGCCAUAGAGUUUGACCCAAAGUACCGAACACCGAUGGGGAACCCUUAUGGCGAAAAGACCGGAGCUCCCGACCGGCCUGGAAGCCCAGCGGUGUUCGUGCCGUUGAGUAGCCGUUUUCAGUACCACGCGCUCAGCGACCAAACACCGCUGGGGAGACAAAGGAUCCAAGAUGGCCGAUCGCCGCGUGGUCGGUAGCCGAACGACGGCCACCUAGGAAAGCCUCUAAUUACC